CUCAUCAGCUGUGCUAGCUUCUGUCUCUCACUGAUCUUGGGUUUGCCCAAAACACUUACAUUGUUAUGAGAGGGGGAGACCUUCCCCUUGGAAAACAAAUCGAUUCCAAUGAGUUUCACCACCUGAUAGAUCCUGCUGCUUGAGCAGGGUUGUAACGUGUUCCAGGGGCCGGCUGUAGUGUGGAGCACAGUGGAGGGCAGAGCUUGAAGUAAUGGCUGUGGGAUGUGUGUAUGACAGCAGCCUGGGCAGUGGGAGCGGGCAGAGCAGUGCCCCGGUGUGUGCUCAGCUGCAGGAGGGCCGGGCAGCUGUUCUGACCGUGAGCUGGGGAAGGGCUGAGGAUGCAGAGGCCGGAGGAGCUGCUUUUCUUUUUAGCACUGUGAUUUUUGAGGCAAAUUUGGAUGAAUUUCAACGUGUCCGUUUCUCUUUAUAGCCACAUCUAACACAUACAUCAGGAAACAGUACAGGAAGGUGAGGUGGCGUUUCACCUUUCUUAUAGCUCAUGCAAGAAAACAUCAGGUAAAGUGUGAAACUUCUGUCACACUGCACGUAUGCCUUUUUGUCUUUUAAUUAUUGUUGUUUUUAAGCAACCUCCCACUGCCCAAAUUCUUUGCUGCUGUUCUGUAGUUCUCUGUGAAACUUCAGUGCUACAAAUGGGCUUCUCUGUGUCUGUUGAGGGGACGACCUCCUAAGUACUGAACUGCUGUGUGUUUGGUGUGUUACCCCACAGCUGAAGUGUGCUGGCUUCGUCCUGGAAAGGACUGCCUUUUUGGUGAUGGACGGUGCUUUUUGUUUGUUUGUUUAAUUUUUAUUCUUUUUCUUAAGGACUUCUAUUCAAGUGACCGAACCUUAACUGUGUACAUUGUUGAUUUAACAACAAAACAUAACAGAACUCUGUUUGUUCAAUUCCUGUGUGAAAUACGGGGUCCUCCUAACGUCGUUUGAUGGGUUGGGGAUGCACUGUCUUCUGUUCAUGCAGGAUUUGUAAGAUAACGUGCUGCUGUCUGUCGUGGUUUGUUUUAAUAAGCUAAUGUCAGCGAGCUGCUCUGCUGAGGAAGUAAGCCAUAUCACAUCGCUGGGUUCCGCUGCAGAAGAGGAAAAGGGAGGGCACGGAGUGACCAGGAACACGGGCCGUGAGCGCUGCUGGCUCGAGCUUUGUGUGUGUGUGUGACCCAUUAACUCAGCACCGUCUGUCUCAGCCCUUCCUUCAUUCAGCUGUGUUCGCAGCGUUUGUGCUCGGCGUACUUAAUUUAUUGAUGCAUAGUAACCAAGGCCAUCUUUGUGCCAAACGCAUAGAAACACUUUUCUCCCCCUAAUUUUUUGUGUUCUUUGCUUGGGAAGGCAGGGCUGUGCUCCUCCAGACCUCUGCCGUGGGCAGGAGCCAUUCCACAGCUCUUCCUUUGAGAUGUGUGCCCGGGUUAGAGGGGCUGGGGAAGCAGGGGACCACACCUGCUCCAAGGGACGUGGUAGAAGGACAGAUUCCCCUGAGCAAGAGCUGGAGAGAGCAAAUGUAGACAGUGAAUGUAACUGUGCAGCGAGCGCUCCGUUCUGCCUGCUGUGUGACUGCUCUGGGAGGCACUGGUGAGGACUGCAGUGCCCCAGCACUGCCCCGAGCAGCUGCCCAUGUCCUGCCCUCCUCUUCCUGCCAUGCAGCCCUGACCGAAGCAGCACAGGGAGGUAAAAACCUUCAUCCUGGCCUUGUGUAGCUGUGUCUGUUUCACUACCUUCCGACUGUUAAUGCACUCGCUAGCUCAGACGCAGUCUUCUGAAUGAGAUGAAACUACCUUUUCUUACAUUGUUGGCCUUCAUUGUUGUAAUCUUUCAGACCGAUGUAAUUGUUUGACAUUUGAUCCAAGCAAUAAAGAUCAAAUGCUACACCCUGC
rnacentral:lncRNA from 1 species